rnacentral:rRNA from 1 species
AACGAACGCUGGCGGCGUGCCUUACACAUGCAAGUCGAACGGCAGCGGACCUUCGGGUGCCGGCGAGUGGCGAACGGGUGAGUAAUAUAUCGGAACGUACCUUUCAGUGGGGGAUAACGUAGCGAAAGUUACGCUAAUACCGCAUAUUCUGUGAGCAGGAAAGCAGGGGAUCGCAAGACCUUGCGCUGAUUGAGCGGCCGAUAUCAGAUUAGCUAGUUGGUGAGGUAAAGGCUCACCAAGGCGACGAUCUGUAGCGGGUCUGAGAGGAUGAUCCGCCACACUGGAACUGAGACACGGUCCAGACUCCUACGGGAGGCAGCAGUGGGGAAUUUUGGACAAUGGGCGCAAGCCUGAUCCAGCCAUGCCGCGUGAGUGAAGACGGCCUCGG